rnacentral:rRNA from 1 species
CGCGAAUUCGCCCUUCGGGGUGCAGCAGGCGCGAAAACUCUACAAUGCAGGCAACUGCGAUAGGGGGACAUCGAGUGGCAUCCACCUUGGGUGCCUGUCCAACCGUCUAAAAAACGGUUGUUAGCAAGGGCCGGGUAAGACCGGUGCCAGCCGCCGCGGUAAUACCGGCGGCUCGAGUGGUGGCCGAUAUUAUUGAGUCUAAAGGGUCCGUAGCCGGCUUUGCAAGUCCCCUGGGAAAUCCAGCGGCUUAACCGUUGGGCUUUCAUGGGAUACUACAUUGCUUGGGACUGGGAGAGGUAGGAGGUACUCGGGGGGUAGGGGUGAAAUCCUGUAAUCCUCCGGGGACCACCGGUGGCGAAGGCGUCCUACCAGAACAGGUCCGACGGUGAGGGACGAAAGCUAGGGGCACGAACCGGAUUAGAUACCCGGGUAGUCCUAGCCGUAAACGAUGCCCGCUAGGUGUCACGACGGCCGUGAAUCGUCGUGGUGCCGUAGGGAAGCCGCGAAGCGGGCCACUUGGGAAGUACGGCCGCAAGGCUGAAACUUAAAGGAAUUGGCGGGGGAGCAC